rnacentral:lncRNA from 1 species
CCUCGCCUCCGUUCCUCUCCUGAGACCCCCUGCCCGAGCUGGACUCCGACAGCUCCCUACAGCCCCGUCCGCGCCCCUCCGCCCCCCCCCCCGCGUCCAGGACAAAGCUCCUAAUUUCCCUUCUCCCUGCCUCUCAGGAACACGGACGCUCUUGCACCCCAUGGCCCGGGCACGACCAGAGUCCGGUGACACCGCCCUGUCCCUUUCUGGUUUCAGACCGUGAGGACCAAGGAGCGCAGAGCAGGGAGGCCUGGAGCGGGCAGCGCCCCGGGGCGCCCGCGGGGGGAAGGCCAGCCCGCGCCGGCCGAGGCCUCCCCGCCGCGCCUGGGGCCAGGGCGCACGCGUGCGGCGAGUGCGGGGGGCCUUCCGCCGGAGGGCGGGCGCCGCCCAGCACCAGCGCGUCUCACGGGGAGAAGCCGAACGCGUGGGCCACUGCGGCCGCGCCUUGGCGCACAGCUCGCACUUCUCGGCACCUGCGCUCCCACGCCGGCGGGAAGCCCUUCGCGUGCCCGAGCGCGGCCAGGCCUUCAGCCAAGCUCCAGCACCGCAGGGUCCCACGGGCGAGCGCCCCUACGCGUGCCAGGACCGCGGCCGCGCCCCCUUCCUCGGCGAGCACCGCCGCACGCACACGGGCGAGAAGCCCCACGAGUGCGGCCAGUGCGGCCGCGCCUUCCGGGCGCUGUCCGGCUUCUUCCGGCACCAGAGGGUGCACGCGGGCGAGAGGCCUGCUCCGAGUGGGCCGCGCCUUCCGCCUCAGCUCCCAUCUGAUCCAGCACCGGAGGGUGCACGGCGCGGAGUGAGCCCGGCCCGCCGCCCGCGGAGAGAACCGAGGCUGGCCGGUGGCGCGGGGCAGCUGCGGACGGACGCUGGGUGGCAGGGGACCCGCACAGCGCCUGACACCUGCGCAGGAAUUGCCCUCCUGAGAUGGCUUUUGACAAUGCCGGAGACCAAGUCAGGAGCUGGGCCAGAGGCGACGCGGCCUGACUUUGGACCGGCCUCAGGUGAACCAUGCUUUUACACCAUUUAACUGUCUGGCUUUAUGUCCAGGCCUUCACCUCCCAUUCCGACCCUUCACAAGAAUGGCGAGAACCUACUGGGCCAGCCCGAAGCCAGGCCCAGGGGGUUCCUUGCCCCUUCCCAGCAGAUGGGGAGAGAGGAAAGGCCUUGGCCCGCAGGGUUCAGAGUCACACUGCUUGGUCAAGGAGAGAUGGAAUUUGCAAAGGAGCCAGGUGCGGGGCAUGGUGGAAGGGACAGGAGAGGGAUGAGCAGGAAAGAGAGGAGACUCCUGCCCAGGGAAAAGGGCUUGAACUCUGUCCAGUGGGUGGUGCGCAGCUCACCUGAGCCACAAAUCAAGAUCAAACAGGAAACAUCAAUAACUCGGGGGGAGGACAUCUCCCCAAUAUAGAAUGUUCCAUGGGGAUGGGGGGAAGGGCUUCUAUACUUUAUAGGUCAUCCCCUUUAGUUGUUUUGGUUUUAUAUGUGUUUUGCAACACUGCAUAAUUUUUUUCAAAUAAAUAUGCAGCAUAUGGUGGGUAUGCAUCACAGAUGUUCUUAUUGAUGCAGUAAUGAGAAAGCCACAAGCACACAAUGGUGAGGGAUGGCAGGAGACAGGUGCAGGAGCCCAGUUCCAGGGCAGCAGGCUGCAGGUGCCUAAGGGAGCUUGCUGGGGCUGACCCAGGCUUCUGCACUGGGGAUAAGUGCCCAGGGGCACUGUAUCAGGGCAGGUAUCCUACCUACCCGUGGCCGCUCUUUGCCCCUGCUGUGGUCCUAGGCCUACGGUCUGCAUUCUCCAACUAACUCCGCAUUCAGAAGCUAUGACUGCAUCAGAAAAGGAAAGGAUCCUGGCAAUGAGUGGCCUGCUUGACCACCAUGGGCAAAGUGGCAGCCAAAAGGCCUGUUCACCACAUUCUUCCUGGCCAUCUCUCCCAGCUUGCAGCAGAUUCCCACUGUCUGAUUUUUGCUGAACUCAUUGUGCUGGGGACACAGGAACAGCCCCUGUGGCUUCUCCACAUUGACUAGGGAUAUCCUCAGGGGUUAAACUAUUCUGUCAGACUGGGUCCUGGAAUGAUGUCCAAGACACAGUGCCUACUGUCUAGCCUUUACCAAAAGGCUGAUCCUGUGAUUGGAUGAGAAGUGGGCCUCUGUAGUUUCUGGCUACUACUCUUAGCACAGCAAAGCCUGGCGGAGCAGGGGGGUCCCCCAUUUCCUAUAUGCCAGUCCUUCCUCUCAAAAUGCUCAUCUAUACAACAGACUCUCAGGGUUACUGAAUUAAAGGCUGACUGUCGUGGCUAGGGACUGUGGAAGAGAAUGGUGACUGGAAGCCAACAUGAGUGGGCCUGCCUGUCUGUGUCGUCCCCUGAAGUCUAAAUUAGUGGAGCCUGAGGUUGGGAAGGUGGCGGCUGGGCGGGGCUGGGCACAGAGCAGCAGUCCUCCCGCGCCCAGAGCGCCCCGGAAGUGCCCGGGGGCGGGGCCGGCGGGAGGCACUUCCGGCCGCGGGCGGGGCGGGCCGGCCGCUGGGCGCUGAGGCCAACCGGGCCGCGGCUGGCGGUGGUGCGCGUCCUGGCGGUUGCCAGGGUCCCCGUGUUCUGGCAGCCCCGCUUCCGGACGCAGUUGGAUCCGCUCGCCUUGCCGCAGCAUGGGGCUUGGAGAAGCCAGUCCUCAGCCCCAGCUGCACCAUCCCAUAACCUUUUCUUGUUUUAAAGUUUUAUGUUCAAGUUUUUAUAAUUUCUAAGAAAAUAUUAGGACCCAUGGAAAUUUCUCUAGACUCCCAGGGGCUGACCAACCUUCUGGGUGCACUCACUGCAGCAAGAAGCCACCGCCGGCUGCAGUGACCAUUUGCUCUUGACCCCCUGGAGGGCCAGUGAUGGGAGUGGGGCCGCCCCGCGGGACCCCCAGGUCCCCUUCCCAGUCUCUUCUCUGACCUCAGCUUACCCUCCGCUGCACCUAGCUCUCCCUAUCAUUCUGUUUCUUUUCUUCUUUUACCCAGGCAAGAAUUGUUCCCUUUCCUGUUGUUGUGCCAGGUGCUGCCAAGCCUGAUCUCCAAAAGCCUGUCCAAGGACAGGGAAACCCUGAUGGAGGCCCCCACAGGUGAGAGGUAUGAGGGGACAAGCCCACAAUGAGGCUCAGAGGAGUUGGGGAGAGAGGGGGGCAACUUAGGAAUUCACCCCCUACCCACCCAUCUGCCCAACUACUCAAGAUUUAGCCAGGGCUCACCUUCCUGCCCCCUCAUCUUCAACACUUCCUGCUACCUCUCCAGGUGCUUUCCUGGCCACAGCAUGCCUCAUGCUCCUUCUUCCUGGCUCCUUGCCUGCUAGUUGGCCUAGGUUCAGGAGGUGACCAGGGAGAGUGAAUGAAAGAAUGGAAGUGCUGGUGAGUCUUCUGCUUAUUGUCCAGCUGCCCUGUCAGGCUCUAAGUUCUAAGCUCUCUCUGUCCCUAAGAUGCAAGGCCACAUCUGAAGUCCAUAAAAGUUGAGGACUCAUACUUCAAUUUAUUAUUGUUGUUCCUAUUAGUGCUCAGAACGAUGCCGUCUUCCCUUGGUAAGGAAGUGUGCACCGUCAAAGCCUCUGCAUGCUCAGUUUGCCAAUUCUUGUUUACUUGGAAGCCUGAGUCAACCAACCGUGGCCACCCAGAACACACACAGACCCAAUACACCAGACUCACACCUCCCAUGAACUGAGAGUCAGCCCUAUGUCCACAGACAGAUGCCUAUCCCUCCAGCGGGUACCAGAUGCACUGUUCCAGACCCACCCCUUAAGCCCAGACCACGAAUGUUAGAAAAUAGGAACUGGAUAGGCAAAAUAAUAGAGAUCCACUACGUAGGACUUUAAUCUUACUCCUCAGUCAUUACCCUGGCUUGCUGGUGCCAUCUCAAAUUCACAGGUAUCAUGGUGACGGUCGUCUUGUGUCUAAGCUUGUGCAUGUCUGGUCUCCUCUAGCUGUGAAAACUACAUUUCCAGUGUGUGCUGGGCAGGCAGUGCAGACUGUGGGGCUGACUGCACAGCUGGAGGCUUCAGGGGCAGGAGGAUGCCUUGAAGAGGCUGUGCCUGUGCUCCUGCAGGGGCCGCCCGGAGCACCCAGGUCUCAGGACCUUCGUGAACAUGUGGACGCUGCACAGAGGCCUGGAGAGGGCCCCAGGGGACUGGGGACUGGUGAGAGAACUGGAGGGCACAGCAGUGGCGAGGGUGGUGUGUCCAGAUCAGACAGCACACUUAACUCAGGCCCUGGAACAGAUCAGCGAGGCCGCUGCAGAGGGCGGCCUUAUCAGUGUGACACCUGUGACCGGAGCUUCAAAUGCCACUCAGAUGUGGUGAAGCACCAAAGCAUCCAUUCUGGGGGCAAGCCCUACGAGUGCAGCGACUGUGGGAAGGCCUUCAUCCACAGCUCGCACGUGGUGCGGCACCAGAGGACUCACCACGGGGACAAGCCCUACGUGUGCCAGGAGUGCGGGAAGGCCUUCAGCCAGAGCUUCAACCUCCUCAGACACCAGAGGGUCCACACGGGCGAGAAGCCCUACGAGUGUCCCGAGUGCGGCAAGGCCUUCAGCCAGAGGUCGGACGCCGCCAAGCACCGGAGGAUCCACACUGGAGAGAGGCUGUACGAGUGCAGCGACUGCGGCAGGACCUUCGUGCACAGCUCCAACGUGGUGCGCCACCAGCGGACUCACCACGGGGCGAGCCCGUACGAGUGCCAGGACUGCGGCCGCGCCUUCAGCCAGAGCUCCAACCUCCUCCAGCACCAGCGGGUCCACACGGGCGAGCGCCCCUACGCGUGCCCGGACUGCGGCCGCGCCUUCAGCCGCGCCUCCUUCCUCGGCGAGCACCGCCGCAUCCACACGGGCGAGAAGCCCCACGAGUGCGGCCAGUGCGGCCGCGCCUUCCGGGCGCUGUCCGGCUUCUUCCGGCACCAGAGGGUGCACACGGGCGAGAGGCCGUUCCGCUGCUCCGAGUGCGGCAGCGCCUUCCGCCUCAGCUCCCAUCUGAUCCAGCACCGGAGGGUGCACGGCGCGGAGUGAGCGCACGCGGGGGGCGCGGAGUGAGCGCACGCGGGGUGCGCAGGGGCAGCACCUCUGGGGCCUCCCACACCGCAGGCCUGUUCUCACUCUGUGCAGCCAGGGAAACAAUAAAGGUUUCUGCCUCUGAAAGCCUCCCUCUGUCUGCAGCCGGCGGGAAGGGAGGGUAGGAAAGGCCAGUGUCGCUGAUGGGCACUGCAGGCUUUCCCAAGGUAGAGACUUGAGGGACCCUGGGCAGUGCUGGACUGUGCCAGCUUUGCUCUGUGGUCAGCAGGCCUCACCUGUGCCCUCAUAACUCCCCUUAAUCUCAUUCUUCAAUGUGCAUGCAAAAAAGAUAUCAGGAGACUGCUUCUAAUAGACAACCAAGAAACAGAAUUUUUUAGAACUCAAAAGAAAAUAGGGGUAGUGUGGGAAAUAAGAAAAGGUGAACAAGAUUAUAAGUCAUAACCUUAGAGAAAGUGCAAGGGGAGCCAGCUGUGGGUGAGGUGGACAG